rnacentral:rRNA from 1 species
UACAGAGGAUGCAAGCGUUAUCCGGAAUGAUUGGGCGUAAAGAGCUCGUAGGCGGCUUGUCGCGUCUGCCGUGAAAGUCCGGGGCUCAACUCCGGAUCUGCGGUGGGUACGGGCAGACUAGAGUGCAGUAGGGGAGACUGGAAUUCCUGGUGUAGCGGUGAAAUGCGCAGAUAUCAGGAGGAACACCGAUGGCGAAGGCAGGUUGCUGGGCUGUAACUGACGCUGAUGAGCGAAAGCAUGGGGAGCGAACAGG